rnacentral:rRNA from 1 species
UACAGAGGUCUCAAGCGUUGUUCGGAUUCAUUGGGCGUAAAGGGUGCGUAGGUGGCGCGCUAAGUCAGGUGUGAAAUUUCGGAGCUUAACUCCGAAACUGCAUUUGAUACUGGCGUGCUUGAGGACUGGAGAGGAGACUGGAAUUCACGGUGUAGCAGUGAAAUGCGUAGAUAUCGUGAGGAAGACCAGUGGCAAAGGCGGGUCUCUGGACAGUUCCUGACACUGAGGCACGAAGGCCAGGGGAGCAAACAGG